rnacentral:ncRNA from 1 species
GCUUUUUGAUCCCUCGAUGUCGGCUCUUCCUAUCAUUGUGAAGCAGAAUUCACCAAGUGUUGGAUUGUUCACCCACCAAUAGGGAACGUGAGCUGGGUUUAGACCGUCAUGAGACAAGUUAGUUUUACCCUACUGAUGAAUUGCGCCGCAAUCGUAAUUCAACUUAGUACGAGAGGAACCGUUGAUUCACACAAUUGGUCAUCGCGCUUGGUUUCCGAGUCUGGACCGCGGGAGGAACUGCCCAAGUGCGAGGAAUUCGGGGUUUCCGAAGCUGGACCGCGGGAGGAACCGCCCAAGUGCGGGGAAUUCGGCGUUUCCGUGCCCUGUCGCGACGAAAACGGUGCAAGUGCGGGGAAAUUUUUGGU